rnacentral:rRNA from 1 species
UACGUAGGGUGCAAGCAUUAAUCGGAUUUAUUGGGCGUAAAGGGCGCGUAGGCGGAAAUUUAAGUCAGAUGUGAAAUCUUGGAGCUCAACUCCAGAACAGCAUUUGAAACUGGAUUUCUAGAGGGUAGACGGAGGAAACGGAAUUCCACAAGUAGCGGUGAAAUGCGUAGAUAUGUGGAAGAACACCAGUGGCGAAGGCGGUUUUCUAGUUUACACCUGACGCUGAUGCGCGAAAGCAAGGGGAGCAAACAGG